CAGUCGCCGCGGGAAUACGUAGGGUGCAAGCGUUAAUCGGAAUUACUGGGCGUAAAGCGUGCGCAGGCGGUUAUAUAAGACAGAUGUGAAAUCCCCGGGCUCAACCUGGGAACUGCAUUUGUGACUGUAUAGCUAGAGUACGGCAGAGGGGGAUGGAAUUCCGCGUGUAGCAGUGAAAUGCGUAGAUAUGCGGAGGAACACCGAUGGCGAAGGCAAUCCCCUGGGCCUGUACUUACGCUCAUGCACGAAAGCGUGGGGAGCAAACAGGAUUAGAUACCCCGGUAGUCCCUGUCUCUUAUAC
rnacentral:rRNA from 1 species